CCAAUAGCGUAUAUUAAAGUUGUUGCAGUUAAAAAGCUCGUAGUUGAAUUUCGGGAUCAAUAUGUUGGUCGUGCCUUGGUACGUACUGGCAUUAUCGAUUCCUACCUUCUGAAGAACUUCGAUGUCAUUAAUUUGGUGUCUUGGGAAAUCAGGACUGUUACUUUGAAAAAAUUAGAGUGUUUAAAGCAGGCUCGCGCUUGAAUACAUUAGCAUGGAAUAAUGAAAUAGGACGUUUGAUUCUAUUUUGUUGGUUUCUAGGAUCGACGUAAUGAUUAAUAGGGAUAGUUGUGGGCAUUAGUAUUCAAUUGUCAGAGGUGAAAUUCUUGGAUUUAUUGAAGACUAACUACUGCGAAAGCAUUUGCCAAGGAUGUUUUCAUUAAUCAAGAACGAAAGUUAGGGGAUCGAAGACGAUCAGAUACCGUCGUAGUCUUAACCAUAAACUAUGCCGACUAGGGAUCGGAUGAUGUUAAUUUUUUAAUGACUCAUUCGGCGCCUUACG
rnacentral:rRNA from 1 species